GAAGGAGGAUGCAAGCGUUAUCCGGAAUUAUUGGGCGUAAAGCGUUCGCAGGUGGCUGUUCAAGUCUGCUGUCAAAGACCGGGGCUUAACCCCAGAAAGGCAGUGGAAACUGAACGGCUGGAGUGCAGUAUGGGUGGAGGGAAUUCCCAGUGUAGCGGUGAAAUGCGUAGAGAUUGGGAAGAACACCGGUGGCGAAAGCGCUCUGCUGGGCUGCAACUGACACUGAGGGACGGAAGCUAUGGGAGCGGAAAGG
rnacentral:rRNA from 1 species